AAAGGUUUACACCAAUAAUGUAGGUCAGUUGAUUGAGAUGUUUGUUAUAUUUGUACAUAAAUAACAGAUUUCCUGCGGUAAAAAAGUUGUCUGACUAUGGACCCUCGUCGUAGUGCACAGGGCGUGUUAAGGUGUCAAUGUUGCGAUACCCCGGUCCGCCUUCGUACUGUGGCAUUUGUUACAUACAUCUAUGUAAAGCCUGUGUAAGGGACCAUCUCUUAGAUGAAUCCUCAGAAUACAAAGUUGUUUCAUUUGAUAAGCGUGGAUUAAUUACGAAAUGUCAGAAACAUUCCACAAAAGUAUGUAAACUUUAUUGUGAAGAAUGUGAUAUUUCUAUCUGUGCAACAUGUGCUUCCUCUGAACACAAAGGUCACGAGUUUACUGAGAUUUUGAAAUACUUUGAAAACAAAAAAGAUGCCAUUCAAAAAGAUUUACAAAAACUUAAAAUAUCCAUUAAUUCUAAAUAUCAGGAGAUUGUGUCUCACAUAUCAGUUCAGAAAGCUGAUCUAAAUAAAAAUUCGCAGAAACUCACAUCUGCCAUCGAUAAACAUGGAGAAAACUUGCACAGGGAAGUAGACAUUAUUAUAAAGAAUGUUAAGUCCAAUUUUGAAGAUAUUGAUUCUAAACAAUUGACUGUCCUAAAUAAACAAGGAAAUGAAAUUAAACGCAUCAUUAUCUGAAAUCGUACAAUGUACUACUGACCUAGAAAAAUUACUGAACUCUAAUGAUAUCAACCUCGUCACUGCCUACAAAUCCAGAAAUACAGAAUUUAGAAAACUGCCCCCAAAUCUCAAAGUUUCUUUACCAAGUUUUACCCCCCAGAAGAUCAACAAAGAACAGAUAUAUGAACAGUUUAAAUUUGGUUGUCUAUCAAGACUGAAGCACACGAAUACAUACGUAAUGCUCAAGGUGCCGACACCUCUGCCUCAUACAAACCAUUGAUUGAUAAACCACGAAUGAUCAAGGAUAUAUACACUGAUUAUGAAAAACAAAACCAAGUACGAAGUGUGUCAUGUCUUAGUGGUGAACAUGUCUGGACAAGUUGUUUUGACAAUAUCAUGAGGCUUUACAACUUGCAGGGAGAACUAGUCAAGUCAGUCAAAACCAGGCCAAGGAACUUUCCGCGGGAUAUAGCAGUUACACAAAGUGGGGCCUAGUUUAUGAUGAUUAUUAUGGUGGAUCCAUCAACAUAGUGAAGAACACAGAAAUACAAAACAUGAUUAGAUUAAAGGGGUGGAAACCUCGCAAUAUCUGUAGUACUUCAUUUGGCGACCUCCUGGUUGUCAUGGACAGCGAUGAUCAAAAACCAACAAAAGUUGUGCGUUACUCUGGUUCCACAGAGAAACAAACUAUUCAGUAUAAUUGCAAUGGACAACCUCUCUAUUCAUCUUAUGAUAUUAAAUACAUAAACGAGAACAGAAAUCAAGAUAUAUGUGUUGCUGAUUAUACAGCCAAUGCAGUAGUAUUGGUCAAUUCGGCCGGAAUACUCAGAUUUACUUUUACUGGCCCUCCUUCCAGAACCACAUUUAAACCACGCGGCAUUGCAACAGACAACCAGAGUCGGAUUCUGACAUCAGACUAUGACAACGACAGUAUCCACAUCCUGGAUCAGGACGGUCAUUUCCUCCGCUUCAUUGACAACUGCGAUUUAAAGAAUCCAUGGGAUUUGGGUGUGGACGUCAAUGACAACCUCUUUGUGGCUGAGAGUAGAAGUGGUAAACUAAAGAAAAUCCAGUAUUGCAAUUAAACAAACUGUUUGGAUGCAUACACUUGAAAUGGAUGGGGUUUUCCAAUCCACAAUAUAUUCAAUUUUGUAUUUCUACAUUUUAAUAAUCUGCACUGGUUGUCUGUUUAUAGAUUGUGUAACAGUUAGAACCAUUUAAACAAUACUAGU
rnacentral:sRNA from 1 species